AAGUGCUGAGAUUACAGCCUGAGCCACUGCAUCUGGCCGAUAGUCUCUUUGUCAUGAUUUUAAAAAUCAUCUUGUUGGCCAAGACCACGUCUGCCCUGUGAGCACAGACCCUUGCCCUCGCUUCUCUGCCGCUUGUCCACACCCGCUGCCAGCUCACCAUAGAUGAUGAUAUUGCUGUGCCCAUUGUCAACAAUGACUCCAGCAUGUGCAAGGGUGGCUUCGCAGGCGACGAUGCCCCCCGGGCUGUCUUCCCCUCCAUCGUGUGGCACCCCAAGCACCAGGGUGUGAUGAUGGGCAUGGGUCAGAAGGACUCCCAUGUGGGCGACUAGGCCCAGAGCAAGAGAGGCAUCCUGACCCUGAAGUGUCCCAUCGAGCAUGGCAUCGUCACCAACUGGGAUGGCAUGGAGAAGACCUGGCACCACACCUUCUAUAAGGAGCUGCAUGUGGCUCCUGAGGAGCACCCCAUGCUGUGACCGAGGCCCCCCUGAACCCCAAGGCCAGCCGCACGAAGAUGACCCAGAUCAUGUUUUAGACCUUCAACACCCCAGCCAUGUACAUGGCCAUCCAGGCCAUGUGUCCCUGUAUACCUGUGGCUGUACCACUGGUAUCAUGAUGGACUCCGGUGAUGGGGUCACCCACAGUGUGCCUAUCUAUGAGGGGUAUGCCCUCCCCGACGCCAUCCUGUGUCUGGACCUGGCUGGCCGGGACCUGACUGAGUACCUCGUGAAGAUCCUCACUGAGUGGGAUUUCAUGCAUGACAUCAAGGAGAAGCUGUGCUGUGUUGCCCUGGACUUCGAGCAGGAGAUGGCCAUGGUGGCCUCCAGCUCCUCCCUGGAGAAGAGCUGCGAGCUGCCUGAUGGCCAGGUCAUCACCAUUGGCAAUGAGCGGGCCUGCUGCCCCGAGGCACUCUUACAGCUUUCCUUCCUGGGCAUAGAAUCCUGUGGCAUCCAUGAAACUACCUUCAACUCCAUUAUGAAAUGUGACGUGGAUAUCCACAAAGACCUGUAUGCCAACACAGUGCUGUCUGGCGGCACCACCAUGUACCCUAGUGUUGCCAGCAGGAUGCAGAGGGAGAUCACCGCUCUGGCGCCCAGCACGAUGAGGAUCAAGAUCAUUGCUCCUCCCGAGCGCAAGCACUCUGUGUGGAUUGGUGGCUGCAUCCUGGCCUCGCUGUCCACCUUCCAGCAGGUGUGGAUCAGCAAGUAGGAGUAUGAUGAGUCUGGCUCCAUCGUCCAUCUUCCAAAUGCUUCUAGGCAGACUGUGACUUAGUUGUGUUACACCCUUUCUUGACAAAACCUAACUUGUGCAGAAAAGAAGAUAAGAUUGGCAUGGCUUUAUUUGUUUUUGUUUUGUUUUUGUUUUUGUGUUUUUGUGGUUUGAAUCAGGAUUUAAAAACUGAAACGGGGGGUGACAGCAGUUGGUUGGAGCGAGCAUCCACCAAAGUUCUACAACGUGGCCGAGGACUUUGUUUCUUAUUUGUACAUUGUUCUUUUUUUUACUAGUCAUUCCAAAUAUCGUGAGAUGCAUUGUUACAGGAAAUUGUUUGCCCUCCUAAAAGCCACCCCACUUCUCUCUAAGGAGAAUGGCCCGGUCCUGUCCUAAGUCCACACAGGGGAGGUUUCGUGUGAUUUAUGUAAUGCAAAAUUUUUAAAAUCUUUGCCUUAAUACUUUUUUAUUUUGUUUUAUUUUGAAUGAUCAGCCUUCGUGGCCCCCCUCUUUUGUCCCCCAACUUGAGAUGUAUGAAGGCUUUUGUUCUCCCUGGGAGUGGGUGUAUGCAGCCAGGGCUUACCUGUACACUGACUUGAGACCAGUUGAAUAAAAGUGCACACCUUAAAAAAAAAA